rnacentral:rRNA from 1 species
AACGAACGCUGGCGGCAUGCCUAACACAUGCAAGUCGAACGAGACCUUCGGGUCUAGUGGCGCACGGGUGCGUAACGCGUGGGAAUCUGCCCUUGGGUUCGGAAUAACAGUUAGAAAUGACUGCUAAUACCGGAUGAUGACUUCGGUCCAAAGAUUUAUCGCCCAAGGAUGAGCCCGCGUAGGAUUAGCUAGUUGGUAGGGUAAAGGCCUACCAAGGCGACGAUCAUUAGCUGGUCUGAGAGGAUGAUCAGCCACACUGGGACUGAGACACGGCCCAGACUCCUACGGGAGGCAGCAGUGGGGAAUAUUGGACAAUGGGCGAAAGCCUGAUCCAGCAAUGCCGCGUGAGUGAUGAAGGCACUAGGGUUGUAAAGCUCUUUUACCAGGGAUGAUAAUGACAGUACCGGGAGAAUAAGCCCCGGCUAACUCCGUGCCAGCCGCCGCCGUAACAC